CGUCUUCAGGGCAGGGUGAAAUUCCCGAUCGGCGGUAAAGUCCGCUAGCGAUUAGCAUGAACCGGUUAGAUUCCGGUACCGACAGUAUAGUCUGGAUGGAAGAAGAUA
rnacentral:ncRNA from 1 species